rnacentral:rRNA from 1 species
GUAAUCGUAGAUCAGCAUGCUACGGUGAAUACGUUCCCGGGUCUUGUACACACCGCCCGUCACACCACGAGAGUUUGUAACACCCGAAGCCGGUGGAGUAACCAUUUGGAGCUAGCCGUCGAAGGUGGGACAAAUGAUUGGGGUGAAGUCGUAACAAGGUAGCCGUAUCGGAAGGUGCGGCUGGAUCACCUCCUUUCUAAGGA